rnacentral:rRNA from 1 species
GACGAACGCUGGCGGCGUGCUUAACACAUGCAAGUCGAACGGAAAGGCCCUGCUUUUGUGGGGUGCUCGAGUGGCGAACGGGUGAGUAACACGUGAGUAACCUGCCCUUGACUUUGGGAUAACUUCAGGAAACUGGGGCUAAUACCGGAUAGGACCUCCUGCUGCAUGGUGGGGGGUGGAGAGUUUCGGCGGUUGGGGAUGGACUCGCGGCUUAUCAGCUUGUUGGUGGGGUAGUGGCUUACCAAGGCUUUGACGGGUAGCCGGCCUGAGAGGGUGAACGGCCACAUUGGGACUGAGAUACGGCCCAGACUCCUACGGGAGGCAGCAGUGGGGAAUAUUGCACAAUGGGCGGAAGCCUGAUGCAGCAACGCCGCGUGCGGGAUGACGGCCUUCGGGUUGUAAACCGCUUUCGCCUGUGACGAAGCGUGAGUGACGGUAAUGGGUAAAGAAGCACCGGCUAACUACGUG